UUUUUAUAUUCUAUCCCACUAUAUUACGAAAACCGACUUUGGUUCACAUUGACAAUAUAUUAGGUGAUAUCAUGAUACUAUUAAGAUAGUUUAGUAAUUUUUCAUCCGUAUUUGGGUCAACUUUAUUUAUCAGUAUAAGGUCGGGCGAGUGGGCGUAGGCCCGCGGCACCGAAGUAUGUGUGUGAUCAGCGCCUAUUGGCCGGGAGUCUAUGACGUCGGGGGCUUAGGUGCGAAUGAUGCAGAUAGGGCGUCUAUUAGGCAUAAAUAUGCGGGGUCCCUUGAUACGGGAGCGUAUGACCUCCGACCCAGACGUUAGCCACACUAUUCUAAGAUAGUAAACGCGUCGUAGCAGCUGGAAGAAAAAACAACAACAACAACAACGAUCCGUCCUGCACAACUAUGCCGACUGACUCGAUUACUUUACAGCGAUUCGCGGUGCCGGCGGUGAGAGCGUGAAACAGCAGCAGGGUCCACGUGGAAGUUUGCAGGAUAUUCGGCUCAACAGACCGAUUCUAGCAGACCAGACUAAUGUGCUGACAAGCGGUAGUUUUGUACCUAUCGAGGCCAAUGUCAUUCAGCGAACCCCCGGAGCAAAUCGGCUGUCCAAGAAGAAUUUGAAAAGAUCGGCGGGAAUAGGCGGGGCUAUACCCUGCUCACCACUGGCCAUAGAACAGCUACAAAUUCCUUAUAAAAAGGCCCGCAAGGACGCCACCCACGGUGGUCUAGCUCCGGAGAAUAUUACCCAGGUUAUUCAGGCCGUUAUAAACCCGCAAAUUGCGCCACAUGGAGCGGCAUGGACUGAUUCCAACCGCCGUGUGAUCGGGGACGUGGAGGUGCAUGUGUCGGCGUCGCCUACAGAGACCGUCGCCGUGCAACCGGAUGGGACUAUACAACACG
ensembl:lncRNA